UAAACGGACCAAACUUCAGCCAGGAGAACAACUGAGAUAAUCCAUCCACAAUACGCGAAGUUGACCACGCUGCAGCUGUCAGCCAGCGACCAGGACAGCGAGCCGGGCGAGCGAAACUAAACCAAACCCAACUUUUCCCACCGCUUUCAGACCCUGAUUUCACCUGGCAACCACCACAAACCAGUGGCUUUACCCCCAAAGUUGCCAGGGGUGUGCAGCGCUGUGGUCCAUUGAUCACCUCUCCGGUUUGAGCCUGUCCACAGACAUGCUUGUCAAUUGGUGAUUCUAAAGUGCCUGUUGGUGUGAUGGAAGUAUU